GGCCUAAUAGUGUAAUCGUCGCACGCGUCCUUCGGGAUUGAUUGAUUUUUCCGGUCACGCGACUUCAAGUGGACGUAGUCUGGGUUCAAUUCCCAGUUAGGCCC